rnacentral:rRNA from 1 species
CCUCGAAUCAGGUGGGACUACCCGCUGAACUUAAGCAUAUCAAUAAGCGGAGGAAAAGAAACUAACAAGGAUUCCCCUAGUAACGGCGAGUGAAGCGGGAUGAGCUCAAAUUUAAAAUCUGAUAGUCUUUGGCUGUCCGAGUUGUAAUCUAGAGAAGUGUUUUCCGCGUUGGACCAUGUACAAGUUUCCUGGAACGGAACGUCAUAGAGGGUGAGAAUCCCGUCCUUGACAUGGACUACCAGUGCUUUGUGAUACACUCUCAACGAGUCGAGUUGUUUGGGAUUGCAGCUCAAAAUGGGAGGUAAAUUCCUUCUAAAGCUAAAUAUUGGCGAGAGACCGAUAGCGGACAAGUACCGUGAGGGAAAGAUGAAAAGCACUUUGGAAAGAGAGUUAAACAGUACGUGAAAUUGUUAAAAGGGAAACGAUUGAAGUCAGUCGCGUUUACUUGGACUCAGCCUUACCUCGGUUUGGUGCAUUUCCUUGUGAACGGGCCAGCGUCAAUGUUGUCCGUUGGAAAAGGGUUGGAGAAAUGUGGCUCUUUCGGGAGUGUUAUAGUCUCUGAUCGUAUACAACGGCUGAUAUUGAGUGGCACAGCAUGCUUCGGCGGUGCUUGUGCUGGCAUAAU